AAUAGAUACCCUGGUAGUCCACGCCGUAAACGAUGAGUGCUAGGUGUUGGGGAGGUCCACCCCUCGGUGCCGAAGUUAACACAUUAAGCACUCCGCCUGGGGAGUACGGUCGCAAGACUGAAACUCAAAGGAAUUGACGGGGACCCGCACAAGCAGUGGAGUAUGUGGUUUAAUUCGAAGCAACGCGAAGAACCUUACCAGGUCUUGACAUCCCUCUGAAUCCUCUAGAGAUAGAGGCGGCCCUCGGGACAGAGGAGACAGGUGGUGCAUGGUUGUCGUCAGCUCGUGUCGUGAGAUGUUGGGUUAAGUCCCGCAACGAGCGCAACCCUUGAAUUUAGUUGCCAGCACUUUGGGUGGGCACUCUAGAUUGACUGCCGGUGACAAACCGGAGGAAGGCGGGGAUGACGUCAAAUCAUCAUGCCCCUUAUGACCUGGGCUACACACGUACUACAAUGGCCGGUACAACGGGCAGCGAAGGAGCGAUCCGGAGCCAAUCCUACCAAAGCCGGUCUCAGUUCGGAUUGCAGGCUGCAACG
rnacentral:rRNA from 1 species